CACAGACCUAAGUGACCACAGCUAGGUCCCGCAGCUGGGCCUGACACCCUGCUCCCUCCUCAGUGCAGCCAUGCUUUGGGAGCUGAGAGGGAAACUGCAUCAGUACAAGGUACAAAGUCAAGAUGUUCUUCAUUGACCCAAAGCCCAGCAACCUCUUACAGUCUGGACUGAUUCUCCGAGCACCAGCAGGUGUUCCAUAUGUGAGAGCAGAAAUUACAUCUUGGACUGCUGUUUUCUCCCUGCAGACACGUUGCCUUUGGGGAAGGGGAUGGUGUGAGCAGAGCUGUGUUCAGCCACUGGACAUGUGCGUGACUCAGCACUGUUUUUAUCUUUGUACCUUCUAGACUGAGGCCUGGCUGUCCUGCCAUUGCAUCCCUUCUGCUGUCUCGCCCCAGCUAAGACAGUUUCUCUUUCCCCUUCUGCCAAGCAGUGGGACUUGGUUAUGCUCCUGUAAAAAUAAGAAUUGCCUGGAGGUGCGAUACCUCCAUGCUGCCCAGGAAUCACAGGGACACUGCAUCUCAGCUUCCAUCUUGAGAACUUCAUGUCUCUGAUUCAGAAUAAUAGCUGAAUAAACACUGCUCUGUUUGGGAUUUCUCACCCACGCCCCCUGCCUUGGCCUGAAGCAGACCCAUUUCCUGAGUUCCUUCUCAGGGUUUCACAGGGUCUCGAGGGAACACCUGUGUGAGUUGCAGCGCAGACUUCAUUUGCUCUGACCACUGUCUUGCUCUACAGGCACCACGGUCCUGAGCAAAAGGAGGAUGAUUAUAUAGCUGCAAAUGGCCAUGUCUCGCUUUCAAGAAGGGUAAUUAAACAUCUGAAGGCCACAGACUGGGAUUAAUGACAAGAGGGCCCAAUCAGAAGAUGUGGGGAUGGUGGCACCAGCUAGAUGAAAUGCUGAUCCUCUGGCUGCUAAGGAAGCACAGAAAGCUGGCUUGGUGCUGUGCUGAUGUUUCUGAAACUUGAGAGAGAGGUUUUGAGAUGCUGAGAUUUUGAAAUUAUAUUAAGUGCUGGAUGUUAAGGGGUAAUUACAGAAAAAGAAAAACAAGCAAAAUGAACAGUGUUUUUUCCCCUCCUCCACCAAGUGAAAUGGUAAUGGAAUAUGGUCUCGUGUAGUAUAAUGCUUUAAGUACUGCGUGUCCCAGUUUCACAAUGCUCAGUACAAUGUGUACAAAAA
ensembl:lncRNA